rnacentral:rRNA from 1 species
UACGUAGGGGGCUAGCGUUGUCCGGAAUCACUGGGCGUAAAGCGCACGUAGGCGGCUUCUUAAGUCAGGGGUGAAAUCCUGGAGCUCAACUCCAGAACUGCCUUUGAUACUGGCGAUCUCGAGUCCGGGAGAGGUGAGUGGAACUGCGAGUGUAGAGGUGAAAUUCGUAGAUAUUCGCAAGAACACCAGUGGCGAAGGCGGCUCACUGGCCCGGUACUGACGCUGAGGUGCGAAGCGUGGGAGCAACAGG